rnacentral:rRNA from 1 species
UACGUAGGGGGGCAAGCGUUGUCCGGAUUUAUUGGGCGUAAAGAGUGUGUAGGCGGCCAUACAGGUCAGCUGUGAAAACUCGAGGCUCAACCUCGAGACGUCGGUUGAAACCGUUUGGCUAGAGUCCGGAAGAGGAGAGUGGAAUUCCCGGUGUAGCGGUGAAAUGCGCAGAUAUCGGGAAGAACACCCGUGGCGAAGGCGGCUCUCUGGGACGGUACUGACGCUGAGACGCGAAAGCGUGGGGAGCGAACAGG